rnacentral:rRNA from 1 species
GACGGAGGAUGCAAGUGUUAUCCGGAAUCACUGGGCGUAAAGCGUCUGUAGGUGGUUUAAUAAGUCAACUGUUAAAUCUUGAGGCUCAACCUCAAAAUCGCAGUCGAAACUAUUAGGCUAGAGUAUAGUAGGGGGUAAAGGGAAUUUCCAGUGGAGCGGUGAAAUGCGUAGAGAUUGGAAAGAACACCGAUGGCGAAGGCGGCAUCCUGGACCAACACUGACACUGAGGAGCGAAAGCCAGGGGAGCAAACGGG